GGGCCCGCACAAGCGGUGGAGCAUGUGGUUUAAUUCGAUGAUACGCGAGGAACCUUACCAGGGCUUAAAUGUAAGUUGCAUAGAUCAGAGAUGGUCUUUUCUUCGGACUACUUACAAGGUGCUGCAUGGUUGUCGUCAGCUCGUGCCGUGAGGUGUCAGGUUAAGUCCCAUAACGAGCGCAACCCCUAUUUCUAGUUGCCAGCGGUUCGGCCGGGGACUCUAGAGAAACUGCCGGUGCAAACCGAGAGGAAGGUGGGGAUGACGUCAAAUCAUCACGGCCCUUACGUCCUGGGCUACACACGUGCUACAAUGGCCGGUACAGAGAGCAGCCACUACGCGAGUAGGAGCGAAUCUAUAAAACCGGUCUCAGUUCGGAUCGCAGUCUGCAACUCGACUGCGUGAAGCUGGAAUCGCUAGUAAUCG
rnacentral:rRNA from 1 species